CAAUAGCGUAUAUUUAAGUUGCUGCAGUUAAAAAGCUCGUAGUUGGAUUUCGGGUGGGAAUGGCCGGUCCGCCGUUUCGGUGUGCACUUGCUACGCCCACCUUGCUGCCGGGGACGUGCUCUUGAGUUCACGCUCGGGACACGGAGUCGGCGAGGUUACUUUGAGUAAGUUAGAGUGUUCAAGGCAGGCCUACGCUCUGAAUACAUUAGCAUGGAAUAACACGAUAGGACUCUGGCCUAUCUUGUUGGUCUGUAGGACCGGAGUAAUGAUUAAGAGGGACAGUCGGGGGCAUUCGUAUUUCAUUGUCAGAGGUGAAAUUCUUGGAUUUAUGAAAGACGAACUACUGCGAAAGCAUUUGCCAAGGAUGUUUUCAUUAA
rnacentral:rRNA from 1 species